CCCUCUAAGGUUGGUCACGACGAGCACCGGAUUUUUUUUUUAUUUUUCUCGAAUUUUUUCGUUGAAGCCGCGGAUGUCCUCAUCGUGUUCAUCUCAAAUACUCGCCGGAGACCUCACCGAAGUCGGAGGUAAACCCGUCUUCUCCUUCCUCUCUUCUUUCCUCUCUUUUCCACGGCUUCGUGCACCCUCUCCGGCCGUCAGG
rnacentral:lncRNA from 1 species